GACGAACGCUGGCGGCGUGCUUAACACAUGCAAGUCGAACGGAAAGGCCUGCUUUCCCUUGUGGAUUGCGGGUACUCGAGUGGCGAACGGGUGAGUAACACGUGAGUGAUCUGCCCCCAACUUGGGUAUAAGCCUGGGAAACUGGGUCUAAUUCCCGAUAGGACUGCAGGGUGGUGCCUGUGGUGGAAAACGAUUUUCUAGUGGUUGGGGAUGAGCUCGCGGCCUAUCAGCUUGUUGGUGGGGUAAUGGCCUACCAAGGCGGCGACGGGUAGCCGGCCUGAGAGGGUGGACGGCCCCAUUGGGACUGGGAUACGGCCCAGACUCCUACGGGAGGCAGCAGUGGGGAAUAUUGCACAAUGGGCGGAAGCCUGAUGCAGCGACGCCGCGUGGGGGAUGACGGCCUUCGGGUUGUAAACUCCUUUCGACCGCGAGGAAGCCACCUGGUUGGAAGGGUGGUGACGGUAGUGGUAGAAGAAGCACCGGCUAACUACGUG
rnacentral:rRNA from 1 species